AGAUUCCCGAGAUUCCUCUCAGAGAUAAAAUUGGAUUUGAUUUAUGCAAUCAAGCAAAGAAGGAAAAGCAACGAAAGAGGGAACUCAGUUCUAUCAAUUCUUCGAAGAGGAGUUCUUCUAUUCGGAACUCUUUCGAGUCGUUUUCUCCGGCGGCCAGAAAUUUGUUUAUGAACAGAGUUUCCAGUUCUCGACGGUUUGUUUUUAUUUUUAUCGUAGACAAACGCCCCUCUUAAAAAACGU